rnacentral:rRNA from 1 species
GAUGAACGCUGGCGGCGUGCCUAAUACAUGCCAGUCGAGCGAACGGACGAGAAGCUUGCUUUUCUGAUGUUAGUGGCGGACGGGUGGGUAACACGUGGAUAACCUACCUAUAAGACUGGGAUAACUUCGGGAAACCGGAGCUAAUACCGGAUAAUAUUUUGAACCGCAUGGUUCAAAAGUGAAAGACGGUCUUGCUGUCACUUAUAGAUGGAUCCGCGCUGCAUUAGCUAGUUGGUAAGGUAACGGCUUACCAAGGCAACGAUGCAUAGCCGACCUGAGAGGGUGAUCGGCCACACUGGAACUGAGACACGGUCCAGACUCCUACGGGAGGCAGCAGUAGGGAAUCUUCCGCAAUGGGCGAAAGCCUGACGGAGCAACGCCGCGUGAGUGAUGAAGGUCUUCGGAUCGUAAAACUCUGUUAUUAGGGAAGAACAUAUGUGUAAGUAACUGUGCACAUCUUGACGGUACCUAAUCAGAAAGCCACGGCUAACUACGUG